rnacentral:rRNA from 1 species
CAGUCGCCGCGGUAAUACGUAGGUGGCAAGCGUUGUCCGGAAUUAUUGGGCGUAAAGGGCUCGCAGGCGGUUUCUUAAGUCUGAUGUGAAAGCCCCCGGCUCAACCGGGGAGGGUCAUUGGAAACUGGGAAACUUGAGUGCAGAAGAGGAGAGUGGAGUUCCACGUGUAGCGGUGAAAUGCGUAGAGAUGUGGAGGAACACCAGUGGCGAAGGCGACUCUCUGGUCUGUAACUGACGCUGAGGAGCGAAAGCGUGGGGAGCGAACAGGAUUAGAUACCCCCGUAGUCCCUGUCUCUUAUAC